rnacentral:lncRNA from 1 species
AAAGAGAGCCAGAGGGCCCAUCAUGCUCAGGAGGAAUGAGGAGGCCAGAGCUCAGAGCCCGGAGUGGGGCCGCGCCGCCCCUGGUGGCCCCUCCCAGCAGGCAGGGCCUGUGUUUAAGGUGUUGCCAGGCAACCUGCCACGUGGGGCUGGAGGCUGUGGUUGGGGCAAAGCGCCAGUAAUGGAGAAGCAGAGCCCAGCGCUUGGUGUGACGGGGUCCCAGGUAGUCGGAUCAUGAAUGGAAUGACACACUCUGAACCGAAGAGACCUUACAGAUCAUCUAGUUCUCCAGCCUUGAAGAUGGGGAAACUGAGGCUCAAGGAAGGCAUGUAAACAGCAACCUCGGGAUUCCAUUUAAAUUCUGCCUCUCUGGAUCUGCUUCCUGAUAUAUAAAAUG